UACGUAGGGCGCAAGCGUGUCCGGAAUUAUUGGGCGUAAAGAGCUCGUAGGCGGCCUGUUGCGUCCGCUGUGAAAUCCCGGGGCUCAACCCCGGGCCUGCAGUGGAUACGGGCUGGCUAGAGGCAGGCAGGGGAGAACGGAAUCCUGGUGUAGCGGUGAAAUGCGCAGAUAUCGGGAAGAACACCCGUGGCGAAGGCGGCUCUCUGGGACGGUACUGACGCUGAGACGCGGAAAGCGUGGGGAGCGAACAGG
rnacentral:rRNA from 1 species